rnacentral:rRNA from 1 species
CGGUGGUCGGAAAAUCGGAAGGGCUUCCCGGGACCGGGGCCGUCCGACUCCGCGCCUUCCGUUGCGCCCGACGCAUUUGUCUCUCGUCCGAAGGACGCUGCAGCCGGUCGGGCAGUGCAAGCGUGACGGCCUGAAGGGCGGGAACCGGCAGGUGGCCGGUGGCGCGCCUCGGCGCGUCGCCGGUUGUUAGCCGUCCCGUCAGUGGCCCGUCGCUCGACCGAGGUGUCACGAGGCCCUCAGGGCCCCCGCGCCUCCUCCCCCGCCGGAAGUCGGGACAGCGUCGCAGGCGAAGGCCGCCGUCCCGCCGCACUCCCUCGGAGUGGGCGGGCGAACGGACGGCGCCGAUGGCGACGAAGGCCCGUGGGAGGCUGGAGGCUGGCAGCGAGUAGGUCGGUCACCCACCCGACCCGUCUUGAAACACGGACCAAGGAGUCUAACAUGUGCGCGAGUCAAUGGGUCUUGAACAGGCCCAGGGGCGCAAUGAAAGCAAAGGCCGACCGAGCGUCGACCGAGUUGGGAUCCCGUCCCCCCGGGGGCGGGCGCACCAACGACCCGUCCUAUCCGGCUCGCCGGUUGGGCGGAGUGUGAGCGUACACGUUGGGACCCGAAAGAUGGUGAACUAUGCCCGGACAGGACGAGGCCAGAG